rnacentral:rRNA from 1 species
GUCCUUAGGGACAACUUCUGACAAUUUGAC